rnacentral:rRNA from 1 species
AUUGAACGCUGGCGGAAUGCUUUACACAUGCAAGUCGAACGGCAGCACGGGGCAACCUGUGGCGAGUGGCGAACGGGUGAGUAAUAUAUCGGAACGUGCCCAAUCGUGGGGGAUAACGUAGCGAAAGUUACGCUAAUACCGCAUACGAUCUACGGAUGAAAGCGGGGGGAUCGCAAGACCUCGCGCGAAUGGAGCGGCCGAUAUCAGAUUAGGUAGUUGGUGGGGCAAAGGCUCACCAAGCCAACGAUCUGUAGCUGGUCUGAGAGGACGACCAGCCACACUGGAACUGAGACACGGUCCAGACUCCUACGGGAGGCAGCAGUGGGGAAUUUUGGACAAUGGGCGCAAGCCUGAUCCAGCCAUUCCGCGUGCAGGAUGAAGGCCUUCGGGUUGUAAACUGCUUUUGUACGGAACGAAACGGUCUGCCCUAAUACGGCGGGCUAAUGACGGUACCGUAAGAAUAAGCACCGGCUAACUACGUG